GCUUAACACAUGCAAGUCGAGGGGCAGCACAGGUAGCAAUACCGGGUGGCGACCGGCGCACGGGUGAGUAACGCGUAUGCAACUUACCUAUCAGAGGGGGAUAACCCGGCGAAAGUCGGACUAAUACCGCAUGAAGCAGGGGCCCCGCAUGGGGAUAUUUGCUAAAGAUUCAUCGCUGAUAGAUAGGCAUGCGUUCCAUUAGGCAGUUGGCGGGGUAACGGCCCACCAAACCGACGAUGGAUAGGGGUUCUGAGAGGAAGGCCCCCCACAUUGGUACUGAGACACGGACCAAACUCCUACGGGAGGCAGCAGUGAGGAAUAUUGGUCAAUGGCCGAGAGGCUGAACCAGCCAAGUCGCGUGAGGGAUGAAGGUUCUAUGGAUCGUAAACCUCUUUUAUAAGGGAAUAAAGUGCGGGACGUGUCCCGUUUUGUAUGUACCUUAUGAAUAAGGAUCGGCUAACUCCGUGCCAGCAGCCGCGGUAAUACGGAGGAUCCGAGCGUUAUCCGGAUUUAUUGGGUUUAAAGGGUGCGUAGGCGGCCUUUUAAGUCAGCGGUGAAAGUCUGUGGCUCAACCAUAGAAUUGCCGUUGAAACUGGGGGGCUUGAGUAUGUUUGAGGCAGGCGGAAUGCGUGGUGUAGCGGUGAAAUGCAUAGAUAUCACGCAGAACCCCGAUUGCGAAGGCAGCCUGCCAAGCCAUUACUGACGCUGAUGCACGAAAGCGUGGGAAUCAAACAGGAUUAGAUACCCUGGUAGUCCACGCAGUAAACGAUGAUCACUAGCUGUUUGCGAUACACUGUAAGCGGCACAGCGAAAGCGUUAAGUGAUCCACCCUGGGGAGUACGCCGGCAACGGUGAAACUCAAAGGAAUUGACGGGGGCCCGCACAAGCGGAGGAACAUGUGGUUUAAUUCGAUGAUACGCGAGGAACCUUACCCGGGUUUGAACGCAUUCGGACCGAGGUGGAAACACCUUUUCUAGCAAUAGCCGUUUGCGAGGUGCUGCAUGGUUGUCGUCAGCUCGUGCCGUGAGGUGUCGGCUUAAGUGCCAUAACGAGCGCAACCCUUGCCACUAGUUACUAACAGGUAAAGCUGAGGACUCUGGUGGGACUGCCAGCGUAAGCUGCGAGGAAGGCGGGGAUGACGUCAAAUCAGCACGGCCCUUACAUCCGGGGCGACACACGUGUUACAAUGGCGUGGACAAAGGGAAGCCACCUGGCGACAGGGAGCGAAUCCCCAAACCACGUCUCAGUUCGGAUCGGAGUCUGCAACCCGACUCCGUGAAGCUGGAUUCGCUAGUAAUCGCGCAUCAGCCAUGGCGCGGUGAAUACGUUCCCGGGCCUUGUACACACCGCCCGUCAAGCCAUGGGAGCCGGGGGUACCUGAAGUCCGUAACCGCGAGGAUCGGCCUAGGGUAAAACUGGUGACUGGGGCUAAGU
rnacentral:rRNA from 1 species